ACCAGCCUGCGUCUCUGGAGUCUCCAGGUUCACUCCGGAUCGAAGGACAUACGUGAUCACCUGUAGCCCCGGGGCCCCGCGCAGCAGCCAGGCCGGCUCCGCGCAGCCCCCAUCCCUCGCUAGCCGUCGCCUCCAAGGACUCUGGCAGAUCUGGGAGGGCGGCGAUGUCACCAGAUGGCUGGGACCACAAGGCGACUCACUUGGCUGCGUCACGGCCCGCUGAAGCCGCUGUGCAGCAGAGGGAACCCGAGUCAGGUCCACAGGGCUCUCGCCGCGCGCCACACCCGCCUGCGUCCCCAGCUCCCCACCCCCACCCCGCCACCCCACCCCCGCCUCAGCCCACCGAAGAGCAUACCCUAGAUUCUCCUAGAUUCUCGAUUUCCGGACUGGUAGCAAGCAGAGAAGAGAUGAGGAGGCCCCAACCGCGCCCGAGGCCUUAAAUACUUAUGGGGGGCGGAGAGUCGGGAGGAGUCUGAAGGCCAGGGUGCGGCCGCUCCCGAGUAGGAAAAGGAAGAGAGUAAGUAAGGCCAGGUGAGUGCCUGCGGACCCACAAUCUAGCCUAUCCUCUGGCUCUUGGCCACUUUGCCUCAGAUUGGGCAGCUGAUCUUUCUGGUACUUUCUGGAUGCUUUGGCUACCUCCACUUAGCGAUGCCAGAAGUGUGCCAGCACUUAGUGGAUGGACAUACUUGUGACAAAGCAGAUCAUAAGUUUAAAGUGAGAAAGGAAGAAAAGACUUUUAACUACUGGGGCUGGAGGUAGAGAUCUUAUUCAGCAGGCACAGAAAAAUAAAGAAAGGUGGUCAGUGCCUGUGUCCCAGUGUAGCCUUCUCAGCUUUGGGUAAGCCUUUCCCAGCCAUGAAAAGGAUGAGCAGUAUUCCCAGCCUUCAGCAGGCUAAACAGACCUUAUCAACCUGGACACAGACAUCUGUCUUGGCUGCAAUUGCAGGUACCCAUGGGAACUUUAAGGUUUUUGCGCUGACCUUGCUGCUACAACAUACUCAAGCUGAAGAAGUGGAUGGAUUUUGUGGGUUUUUUUUUUUUCCUUUAUAAACACAAAGCUUAUUAUCAAACUUUGAGCCUUGAUCAGAACCUUUGUCUUAGCUUCAUCCUUCUCUCACCCCUUUACCUUAUUUCUAGCCCCCGUUUCAGGUAAACCCAGUUCAACCAUGGCUGCUAGAUGGCUACAGAUGGACUUGAAAACUGGGGUGGGGGUGAAGGGGGGACUACUGAGAAGUGCUGUCUUGGGUGGAGCGCCACAGAAAACAGAAGAAAAGUGAAAGUAUCCAUGAAGCACUGUAAGCAACAUGCAGCAUUAAUGCUAGUGCUAGCCAUAAAUUUUAUUUUUUGAAACUGCUGCUGUAAAAAAGUGCUUUCAGGAGGAUACAGGCUAGGCUGAAGAAGUGUUGGCCCGACAUGGGCUUCGCCUAAGGUGUGGCUGCAUAAUGGGGCGAGGGAAUUCUAAAUAGGCAUUUGUCCACAGCCAGGAGCUGCUCCAGGUGAAAGGAGUAGGAUUUAAAAUAAAAUAAAAAGAGUAAAAAACAAAAAACAACAACAACCAAAACAGAUGUUAGAAAAAUUCUUAGCUCAAGUACAUUUAUGUUGUCCUUAAUUCCCAGAAAUAGGAAUGGUAAAUAUAUAAGUAAAAGAAUUAGUCACGUUGAAGAGAAAUUGGGAAAGUUAGAAAAGCAGGGCGCUGGAGAACAACUAUCGGUAGCUACCACUGUGCCUCUUCUCUCUUUGGCAGAAUUCCCAGAAGGAGAUAAAGAGUGAGGCCUUGAACACGAGAGAGAGAAAAAGAGAAUAGGUUUCAGAAAUGGAGUUGUCCCCUGUCCAGGACGCUUUAGCACAAGAGAAGGAAAAUAGAUAUAAGAUAUUUCAGAGCUCUCCUAGGGACAGGAAGAAAUUGGUCCUGCUUCCUCUCUGGCUCCUGUUGGAGAUAUACUUAGUUCUGGUUAGGAUAUCUGGGUCCCUUUGAAACAUCAAGUUCUAUUCCCUCUCUGUCUAUCGUCUGUGCACCAUUUAUCCAUAUGUCUGUCUACUUAUGUUUGUUUUUGUUUUGUUGUUUGAAUGAUUGUUGUUCUGUGUUUCAUGUUGGAAAAAAAAGGUUAAAACUUUAUCUGCUGGCUGUCCAUCCUUUGAUUUAAUUUAACUUGUUUAAAAGGCAGUCUCAAUUUGCAUAGCAGAAACUGAUAAGCUACACUGCACUGUUCCUGGGAGUCAAGCACAGCUGGAAAAGCCCUACUAGAGGCUGAUUAUCUACACAAGUCACUCUUAAAGGGACCAACAGCUUUUUGCUUGUAACAGAAAGUCAGCUUAAAAUUGGCAACUCAGGGUUGGAGUCAUUCUAAAUGACACUUGGCAUGAACCAACCCAGGAAAACAGAUCUUUAAAGAUACUUCUAAAUUGGGAUAAUAUUUUAUGUAAUUCUUAUCCUAGAAACUAGACUUAUAGAGGAUAGUAUUUAAGACAAUGUCUCUUUAAUAUGUAUUAAAAGUUGCACUGUCAUGCAUUCAUAUAUAAGAACUGGCAGCCAAACUUUGUACGUGAAAGUAAUGCUCUUGGUAUUGACUUUAAAGAGAAUGGUGGUUUAAAACAAGGUUUUGUUUUACAAAAUUAUGGGCAUGCUCUAAUAUUACAAAAGAAAAUUUAAAAUAUAGUUAAACUGCCAAUGUUCCAUUAGCUACAGUUUACAAUUCAAUCACAAGAUCAAGAUGUUAACUCAUCCAUAAUUGUGAUUAAGAAAAAAAUCAAGCAAGUGGAGACGAAUAAAGGAUAUUAU
ensembl:antisense 1110046J04Rik RIKEN cDNA 1110046J04 gene